AUGAACGCUAGCUACAGGCUUAACACAUGCAAGUCGAGGGGCAUCAGGAAGAAAGCUUGCUUUCUUUGCUGGCGACCGGCGCACGGGUGAGUAACACGUAUCCAACCUGCCCUUUACUCGGGGAUAGCCUUUCGAAAGAAAGAUUAAUACCCGAUGGCAUAAUGAUUCCGCAUGGUUUCAUUAUUAAAGGAUUCCGGUAAAGGAUGGGGAUGCGUUCCAUUAGGUUGUUGGUGAGGUAACGGCUCACCAAGCCUUCGAUGGAUAGGGGUUCUGAGAGGAAGGUCCCCCACAUUGGAACUGAGACACGGUCCAAACUCCUACGGGAGGCAGCAGUGAGGAAUAUUGGUCAAUGGGCGCUAGCCUGAACCAGCCAAGUAGCGUGAAGGAUGAAGGCUCUAUGGGUCGUAAACUUCUUUUAUAUAAGAAUAAAGUGCAGUAUGUAUACUGUUUUGUAUGUAUUAUAUGAAUAAGGAUCGGCUAACUCCGUGCCAGCAGCCGCGGUAAUACGGAGGAUCCGAGCGUUAUCCGGAUUUAUUGGGUUUAAAGGGAGCGUAGGUGGACUGGUAAGUCAGUUGUGAAAGUUUGCGGCUCAACCGUAAAAUUGCAGUUGAUACUGUCAGUCUUGAGUACAGUAGAGGUGGGCGGAAUUCGUGGUGUAGCGGUGAAAUGCUUAGAUAUCACGAAGAACUCCGAUUGCGAAGGCAGCUCACUGGACUGCAACUGACACUGAUGCUCGAAAGUGUGGGUAUCAAACAGGAUUAGAUACCCUGGUAGUCCACACGGUAAACGAUGGAUACUCGCUGUUGGCGAUAUACUGUCAGCGGCUUAGCGAAAGCGUUAAGUAUCCCACCUGGGGAGUACGCCGGCAACGGUGAAACUCAAAGGAAUUGACGGGGGCCCGCACAAGCGGAGGAACAUGUGGUUUAAUUCGAUGAUACGCGAGGAACCUUACCCGGGCUUAAAUUGCAGUGGAAUGAUGUGGAAACAUGUCAGUGAGCAAUCACCGCUGUGAAGGUGCUGCAUGGUUGUCGUCAGCUCGUGCCGUGAGGUGUCGGCUUAAGUGCCAUAACGAGCGCAACCCUUAUCUUUAGUUACUAACAGGUCAUGCUGAGGACUCUAGAGAGACUGCCGUCGUAAGAUGUGAGGAAGGUGGGGAUGACGUCAAAUCAGCACGGCCCUUACGUCCGGGGCUACACACGUGUUACAAUGGGGGGUACAGAAGGCAGCUAGCGGGUGACCGUAUGCUAAUCCCAAAAUCCUCUCUCAGUUCGGAUCGAAGUCUGCAACCCGACUUCGUGAAGCUGGAUUCGCUAGUAAUCGCGCAUCAGCCACGGCGCGGUGAAUACGUUCCCGGGCCUUGUACACACCGCCCGUCAAGCCAUGGGAGCCGGGGGUACCUGAAGUACGUAACCGCAAGGAUCGUCCUAGGGUAAAACUGGUGACUGGGGCU
rnacentral:rRNA from 1 species